CUGCUUCAUCCCACUGCU
rnacentral:misc_RNA from 1 species